rnacentral:rRNA from 1 species
AUUGAACGCUGGCGGCAGGCCUAACACAUGCAAGUCGAGCGAGCGGCGGACGGGUGAGUAAUGUAUGGGGAUCUGCCCGAUCGAGGGGGAUAACUAGUGGAACCGGUGGCUAAUACCGCAUACUACCGGAUCGGCCCAUAUGGGAUUAGCUAGUGGGUGGGGUAAAGGUUCACCUAGGCGGCGAUCCCUAGCUGGGCUGAGAGGAUGAUCAGCCACACUGGGACUGAGACACGGCCCAGACUCCUACGGGAGGCAGCAGUGGGGAAUAUUGCACAAUGGGCGCAAGCCUGAUGCAGCCAUGCCGCGUGUAUGAAGAAGGCCUUAGGGUUGUAAAGUACUUUCAGUGGAGAGGCGUUACCCGCAGAAGAAGCAACGGCUAACUCCGUGCCAGCAGCCGCGGUAAUUC